UUCAAUGAAGCAUCGCUUGGGGCCCCUCGAUGCUCAUUCCCCUCUAUUUUCUGACACGCUUUUUAAUUCCCCAAAAUGAACCAAACAGCUUUAGCUGCUCUCAUCUCGCAAUGUGUUCUGCAACUUCUAGAAAGGAACCUGGACACAAGGAAAAAUACUACAGAACAAAAAGAGCCACAAUACAAACCAUAUGACAAUGCCUAUUUCUUCAUCCUCUUUGUCAUGUUGUUUUACUCUUUCCUGGCAUUAACUGUCUUUUUUGGUUAUGUACGCUCGAAGAAAGCGGUUUCAAAGCAAGAUCCUUACCAGGAGUUCAUCGAGGAUAGGAACUGAAGUAAGAAGUGGAACAUGACCCAGCCAGCAGUGGUGAAAUUUGACUUUGAAGAAGAAAGUAUUCUUUGAACUCCUUAAACCAAAAUACUCUGCAAAACUCACCGGACUGUCUCUGCUGCCAAGAUCUCAAGCGAAGAUCUACACAUUUAUCUUGUUUGACCAUUGCCCUCACAGUAAAUCAGAGUGUUGCUUAAAAUAGUUCGGUGCAAGAGGAAUGGGAAUCCAUCCUUCAGUGAGACCCUGAAUUUAAGACCAAGGACAAGUUUGUGUAUGCACAUACCCAUUCCAGUGGAAUGCUGUUGCUUCUGAGUCCUUCAGACCUGGGAACUGGAGUGUGGUAUGCCUGGGAAGUGCCUCCCUGGAAUAGCAGAAUGCAUUUUGCCUAGACCAACAAAUACUAUUUAACAUGCAAAUAUAGAAAAGCUCCUCUUGCAUUCCCUCCCCUCAAAAAUUAAUUUCAUAUGCUAUGGCAAAAGAUUGAAAAAACAUCUGCAAAAUGUAAUUAAAAUGCAUCUACUGGAAAAACAGGUCGUGUAUUCAGAGUGAGUUUAGAGUCCUUGCCUUGUCCAUGUUUUGCAUGUAUUUAUUCUUCACUAGCUUCUAAUUGAAGUGUACAUUUCAUUUAUAGAGAAUGGUAACUACAGCUGAUCACAAACCUAACAGCGGAAGGGCUUCUCUGCGUCUGCAGUAAAUAUUUGCUAAAAUAUUGCACAAGCUUUGCUCAGAGUUGUACUGAACACAUUAGACUGCCAUCUGACUUACUCAUUUUUCUCCUGCCUAAUAAGUAUUGAAAAAAAAUCAGAGUUCUGACAUAGAACAUAUUGCUGUGCUUAAUAUAAAAGAACAGAACUUAAGUGCUCAGUGAUAUCCUGGAUGUGCUAUGACACACUGCUCCGAUAGCACACGUGUUCAUCUUCUGAGCCUUUAACUUGCAUCCUGCCUCAGCCAAGGUCUCCCAUUAAUGGUUUUCACUUGUAUCUUGUGUGUAACUGCUUGGAUACAUAACACAUGGGGCUGCAUUACAGAGCCUGUGGCUGCUCAGAGGGCUCUCUGAGCACUGUAAUCAUUUUCAGGUGGUAUGUAGGCUCUGAGUUUUCCUAGUUAGUAUGCAGACAAAGCCAAAGUGGGCGAAAUAAAUUUCCAUGUAUGUAUUAACUUUUCUUUUCCUGCUAGUGGAAUUACAAGAUUAAGGAUUUGGUUUUUCUAAAGUGUGUAAUGUUCAUGAUUAUGUAUGGACAGUUUUAGGGAUGUGUAGAUUUUUAAUUCUGUCAAUAUUCAGAAAAAGAUUGUAUAAGUAUUCAUUCUGGGCUGAGUGAUCAGAUGUUGUUCCUGUUUCCUAGUGGGAUGUGAUAAGUGUUUCUGGUGUAUGUGCAAGUAGGGAGGUUGAUGCUAUGCAUAACUACUUCUCAUAAAACUAAAAUUUGCUUCCCACUUACCAGCAUGAAUGUUUGUAGAAAUAGGUGUUGACUCAGCUCAGAGUGCUCUGUCUCUGAUGGCUGUGCCAAAGAAAGAUAAUAAGAAUAAGGUGAUACUUUCUCAGUUGUACUUCCUCAGCCUUCAAGGAUUUGCUGGUCAGACAGCGGCCAUCUGAGGCAGAGGCCACUCCUGUUGUCUAAAUGUGGGGGUGAGAUAUGUGCAGAACACUGAUGUGGAAAGGUAUGAACACAAGCAUUUCAACAGGCCAGAAAAUGCUCACAGAUGUACUUUUGCUCGAUUCAUCCAAGUCCAAGUUAAAUGGUUUUGACUAUAGUAAGAAGACUAGAGCUGCAGAUCUUGCACAAAUCAGCGUUUCGUCUAUGUUAUGCGUGUCCUGGCUGCUUCAUCUACAGAGUUUGGAGUGGAAAAAUGAAAGUUCAAGUUAUCUGUGUUCACAUCAUGCUCCUGACUUUGGAGUAUGUGAAAUUGAAAUCAAUCCGAGUUGAAUGGCUUGUGAGGGCUUGGAGCAAAUGGGCAGACUGACUCUUUCCAACACAGAGUUCUGGCUGUUUGUGCUCUGAAAGGCUGUGUAAAUGUGGAUUUGCUCUCCUGACAGAUGAUCUUUUACUGGUUUUGUCUUGUAGUGUUUUUUUAUUCUUUGCAGUGUACGAUAUACCAUCUUAAAAAUUAAAGAUAAUUCUUUGAAACUUCA